CCUACGGGUGGCAGCAGUGGGGAAUAUUGGACAAUGGGCGAAAGCCUGAUCCAGCCAUGCCGCGUGUGUGAAGAAGGCCUUAGGGUUGUAAAGCACUUUCAGUGGGGAAGAAAGCCUUGUGGCUAAUACCCUCGAGGAAGGACAUCACCCACAGAAGAAGCACCGGCUAACUCCGUGCCAGCAGCCGCGGUAAUACGGAGGGUGCGAGCGUUAAUCGGAAUUACUGGGCGUAAAGCGCGCGUAGGCGGUCUGAUAAGCCGGUUGUGAAAGCCCCGGGCUCAACCUGGGAACGGCAUCCGGAACUGGCAGGCUAGAGUGCAGGAGAGGAGGGUAGAAUUCCCGGUGUAGCAGUGAAAUGCGUAGAGAUCUGGAGGAAUACCAGUGGCGAAGGCGGCCUCCUGGACUAACACUGACGCUGAGGUGCGAAAGCGUGGGGAGCAAACAGGAUUAGAUACCCUAGUAGUC
rnacentral:rRNA from 1 species